rnacentral:ncRNA from 18 species
GUAAAGAGACCUACUUAAAGCAGGUUUUUACUAUACUAGAUUCGCCUCACGCUCAGAGUCGCCAAACUUUGAGAGCGUGGGGUUUUUU